AAUAAUUUGCUCAAAAAGGGUGUUACGUUUUCUCAGCAUAACAUCUUUUUCAAAAUCAGUUACAACAGCAGAAAUAAAUCUUAACACAUCAUCAAUUGUAUCAUGAAUAACUUCAUUUUAAAUCAUAAAAUAAAUAGUUUAAUAACUCGCAUAACAAAAAGCAUAAAAAUGUAUUCCCAUCUCAAUGUAACAUUAUCAGAGCGACACAAGAAACUAAGAAACUCAAAACGAUAAACAACGAAGAAGGCCACUAUACCAUCCUCCAAUACAAGCAACAACUAAAUCUCCUCUACCUGAGUAUCUGCAUCAUAGGCGUAAAGACAACACAAAGAACAAAUAGGGAGUGAGAAUAUAUUCACAUAUGUUAAUGGUGCAUAAAACAGUAAGGAUAGUACAAUUAGAAUAGAUAAUCAAUAAUACCAUUCAUCCACAAUAAUAAUCAUUCAUAAAUUUAAGUAUGUAUGCAAUGUAUUCAUCUCUUUUACUCCAAUGCAUGUGGUACCAAGGUUUUAUAUGUCAGAGGUACGCUACUGAUUAAUCUAUUCGUCGUUGUUUCCUCUCUAAACCUAAAACUCGUCACUUGUUCCUCUAUGAACCUGAAAUUCAUCACUAGAUAAAUUCCUAACUUACCACUGGACCGAAGUCUUACCUAUCUCUGAUAUACAUGAUGCAUGGAUGCAACAACAAUAUAAAUGCAAUACUCGUCUCAACCUACAACUCCAAUACUCGUCACUGGUAACUCCUACAUGUCACUGGUUCUUUCAAAUCUAAACACAUCAUCAUCAAAUAAUUUCCAAUAUAAGGCAACAUCAUUGGUUCCUCUCGAACCUAAAACUCGGAAUUAUCACCAAUACAAGGCCACAUCAAUGGUUCCACUGAACCAAAACAUCCCAGCAUAAACUCAACAUUUUCCCUCCUCAUGAUACAUUCAUCAUAAUCUCAACAUAACAAUUAACAUUAUUUAAUUUCUCAUCACUACUCAUCAACAACAUCAAAACAACAUCAAACAAUCUUCAAUACUCAAUAAGGCAUGUUCAUAACAAUAACAGAACAUCACAAUUAACUUUAACAACUUCUAUUUAAAGGUUAAGGGUUAUAAGCAUAUCCUUUAAGAUCUCAAGGACAACUCUAAUUCAACUUAUUUACUUCUCAAACUCAAAUCUAAACAUUUCAAACUCAACUUUAAACAUAUUAAUAACUCAAGCUCAACUCAUUUAAUUAUCAAACUCAAGUCUAAACACAUCAAAUAACUCAAACUCAACUCUAAACAUAUCAAAUAGCUCAAACUCAACUCUAAACAUAUCAAAUAACUCAAACUCAACUCUAAACAUAUCAAAUGACUCAAACUUAUCUCCAAAAAUAUCCACAUCUUAUUUAACACAAAUAUAUCAUCAAAAUAUUGGGUCAAUGUCAACAACUUAAAUCACAUAGCAUCUUAUCAAAACAACCCCAAAAUGAUCCAUUUCUACUACACAAAAAAACAUGAAUAUCAUGACAGCGCCAGUCAGAAACUCAUUUUCAUGGAAUCUAAAGGUCAUCCUAAAGCAAAGGCGGUAAGUCAUUCAUCUGCAGGAUUGGAAUUUAAUUAUGCAUCAACCUAAAUUGCAAACUAGGAAAAUAUACAAUGGCCCUAAAGGAGUAGUAUCAUGUGGUGAGUUGGAUAAAACUCCUCAAUGUCAACAUAGUUAGACCUAGAUCCAUCUUUGUCCUCUGGAUGGCAUGCCAAGACAGAUUAGCAACCAAAGAAAGGUUGCACCAAUUUGGGAUGAUUGAUAACGUCACAUGUUAUUUUUGCAGGAAUCAGGGGACUAUUCAACACAUUUCUUCUCUUUCCCAACCCUAAAAAUUAUAUGGGACCAUGUCUUGAAUUUGUUACAAAUAAGUUAUACUCCAGAAGGUUGGAAGGAAGAAUUAAACUGGAUCAUCAAAAAUUGCAAAGGAAAUGGUUGGAGAGCAAUAAUCCUGAAGUGUGCUUUUACAGAAACCAUUUAUGAGAUAUGGAAGCUCAUAAAUCUCCAUUUCUUUGGAAAUAGAGUUAGCAAUACCACUAUUGGCCUGUAUGUCAUAGAUAUAAUUGUGUAUAGGUUAUGGAUAAAACCAAAGCUUAGACACCAUAUUGGUAGACUAAUGUUGCCUUAGUUCUUGCUUUGUCUAGUUUUAUUGUUGGCUUAUUUCGCUGGACCUUUUGGUUGCCUUGCUUUGUAUAUCUUUUGGUUGAGUACUAAAAUUUAUGCUACUAAAAAAAAAGCCCAAAGUCAUGUUUCCUGCUAGUCAUAUAUCAUAUUUGAAUAAUUAUUUAAAAUAUCAAACAGAGUCGGAAUCAAGCAAAUGAGUAUGUUUCGGAAAGUUUAGAGAGUAUAUUUUAAGACUAUGGUUUUUAUUUUAGGAAUUAAGAUCCCAAUCAGUACAGUUUAAUCAAACAAUAGGAAUUGAUACAGGCAUCAAGCAGAAUGUUUCGUUGGACUUGUAACUAGUAUCUCUCUUAUUGAACUUGGUGGAAUAUGAUGAUCAUUAAGUCUAAUAUGUAGGAAGUUUUAUCUAUUUUAUUAUUAUAUAAGGUUUACUCUUAAAGGACUUUUGUAGAAUGAGUUGUGUCUAAAAUACUAACAACAUGUCAAAUAGUUGUGUUGUAGAGUCUUCAAAAUAUUAACUGAAGUUGAAAUUCAAUUUUCUAGCAUUUUUCACAACGAAAUUGAUCUAGAUCGAAGUCUAUCUCAUGUUAAAUAUUGUCUGGUUUCUAACGGUCUCAGUUUCAUUCUUAAAAGAUCUAGGUAACUAAAGUUAUAAGCAAAUGCAUAACUGGGUAUACUAACAACAAGUUGUAGAAAUUAAUCGACAUAUGGUAACAACAUUACUUAAACACCUAUUAUCAAGGCUAAUCAUCCUACACCAUUGGUUCGAUAUCUAAUUUCUCAAAUUAAAUACACUUUUGUUCAAUUUCAAUACUAAACUCACGUCAUGAACAAAUUACUACUUUCUAUAAUGAUAUUCAUAUAAACAUCAUAAGAAUAUACCAUAUUCACAACAUCAUCCUCACGUAUAAACAUCAUAAGACAUUACCAUAAUCACAACAUCUUAUACACAUUUAAAUCUCAUUAAUUCAUUACCCUAAGAAAGAUUUAUGUCUUAACUUUCCAACGCACCUCAAACGGGCUUACGAAACUCAAGUUAUGCGUGAAAUAAGAUGACCAAUACUCUCAUGUGUCUUAUGUGAUUUAUUAGGAUAUUUUCAACUUAGUGCGACUUAUUCGACUUAUUUUGACUUAUUUCAACUUAUUCGACUUAUUUCAGCUUAUUUAUCAAUGUAACAGUUCCAAGCUUUUAUAUUUUUAUUCUCGGGACGGUUCAAACUCGAAAAUCAACAUUUGUUUAUUAACAAGAACAUUUGCUCACCACAACUCAGAACUCAUCAAUUACAAAAUCUCAACCUAUAUCAUGUCAAUUAAUAACAUCCAUAUCAACAAAUAACUUUGUGACAUCAAUCAUAACAUUUUAACACAUCAUAUAAUUUCAGUAAUUAACAGAGCACGAAGAUUAGGAUUAAUAACAACUUAAAGAGAUUUUGCACAAACCCCUUAAAGGUUUAAUUCAUUUAUCAAUAGGGGGAACAUAAAAGAGAAAAAGGGAAAGAGGAUAAGGACUCCCCACUACCCCUCAUGAUUAACACCCAUAUAUUGAAUAAUCCUCCUACCUCAAAUUCGCAGAAAGGUUGAAGCUACAACAAUGGAAUUCCCAUUCUCCUUCAAAAGCUCUCAUAGGGUUGCCUCUUUCUCUCACCAACAUUUUCUCCCAAAAUUCUACAUAGUGGCAACUCUCUC
rnacentral:lncRNA from 1 species